UACGUAGGGGGCAAGCGUUGUCCGGAAUCAUUGGGCGUAAAGAGCGUGUAGGUGGCUUGGUAAGUCCGCUGUGAAAGUCCAGGGCUCAACCCUGGAAAGCCGGUGGAAACUGUCAAGCUUGAGUCCGGAAGAGGCGAGUGGAAUUCCUGGUGUAGCGGUGAAAUGCGCAGAUAUCAGGAGGAACACCAAUGGCGAAGGCAGCUCGCUGGGACGGUACUGACGCUGAGACGCGAAAGCGUGGGGAGCAAACAGG
rnacentral:rRNA from 1 species